rnacentral:lncRNA from 1 species
UUUUUUUUCUGGUAACUAAAUUAGAUUACAUUCAAAGAUUUUCAUUUUUUUUAAUCAGUUUAGGUUUGGAAUGUACGAGAUUACAUUGUAUAGUAUAAACUUCACAAACUGUAUAUAAACAUGGUUACCAAUAGGUAAGCCAAUCAACUUUCAUAAUGGGGGAUUUGUCUGGAGGUCUUUUGUUAUGAGUCAUUUAGUUAGUACACACCCUUAGGUUUACUAAGGACACCCUCAUCUAUUCUGGACCAUCUAGCAGUUAUAUUUGUUUUCUGUUUUCCUUUAAAUACUGUAAACAUUGCCCUUGAGAGGCCAUCAAUGAAAAAUCAGUAAUUUCUAUUUCUUAGUUUUCUUAGCAUUUUAGUAGAUUUCUCUCAGUUAGGGUUUACAACCCUAACAUCUAGUAUCAGAGCCCUUGCUCUAGGCCUCAUGGCUAAAACCAAAGGGUGUGUGCUAAUUAAAUGACUCAUAACAUCUUUUGCACCUGAAACUGUACGACGGCAAAGGAAAACCGAGUGAACUAAACAAGUCAUCAGUGACCACCCAAAAGGGUCUUUUGAGAAUGAUCUCUAAGCACAGAAUAGGCUCCAAAUCAUAAUUGAUAGCUCCAUUACCGAUCCAUAAAAUUUUGAUGUCGUAAUUCUUUUUGCCACAUCUGUCACAUAUGCCUUUGUGAUGGUAGAUCACUCCGCCAUCAGGGUGAGACAUGAUACGGGCCUCCCAAAAAUUGGGUCAUCGCCGUAGGCAAAUGGUUGUAUUCUCUAUAGAGUUGCAUUCAUCGCAAUGAAUUCGUAGUGAAUGGAUCAAUAAAUGAUCUUCCCAUGAAUUUGCGCCUUGGCAAAACGGGUUUCUCCCUCCUGUAUGGGGUCAACUCCGUUGUGUCCUUCAUACUUUGGGCCUGGUACAGGAGGACAUACCUCUUGCCAAGUGGUAGAAAGACGUUGUCUUCUUCCAUGGAAAAAGAAGAGAUCGAAGAAAAUAGGAGUUAGGGUGAUGAGAGAGAGAGAGAGAGAGAGAGAGAGAGAGAGAGAGAGAGAGAGAGAGAGAGGAUAGAGCUAGGUUUUCACUUUGAAGUUGAGCCAAUUACAAUAGGAGGGACUUCUUUAUAAUUGCAGAGAUAUUUGUGUUGGCAAGGAAGAUUUUUGAUGGAUAGUGACAUUUUUCUUCUUACACUAUCAUGAAUGAGCAUUAAAGGGAGUAGUUUUGUAAAUAGUGAAUUGAUCUUUGACUCUUUCACUUAAGAAUGGAGAAGUCUCAGUCACCUACAACUGUAAGAUUGCAGAGUGCCCAUGUCAAGGGCAGAAAAUAUUACAAGGAAAUCUUUAUCAUGACUACCUAUUAUAUAAGAGCUCCAUGCCAUAGGGCUGGCAAAGUAUUUUCACCCUUGGAUUGAACUAGUGGGGAACUAGGUGCGACUUUACUACAAAACUGUAUUUUUUCAAAAAUAAAAAACAAAACAAAACAAAAAAAACUUUCAGAGCGAGUCAGUAUUUUUUUUUUUCUAGGUUUCGACUCAUGUGAGUGUGGGUCAGUUUGGUUUUGUAACAAAUAACAUUCUCAUACAUGCAGACAUUUUAUAUUCAGAUUUUUUU